CCUACGGGUGGCUGCAGUGGGGAAUAUUGGACAAUGGGCGAAAGCCUGAUCCAGCCAUGCCGCGUGUGUGAAGAAGGCCUUCGGGUUGUAAAGCACUUUCAGUGGGGAAGAAAGCCUUGGGGCUAAUACCCUCGAGGAAGGACAUCACCCACAGAAGAAGCACCAGCUAACUCCGUGCCAGCAGCCGCGGUAAUACGGAGGGUGCGAGCGUUAAUCGGAAUUACUGGGCGUAAAGCGCGCGUAGGCGGUCUGAUAAGCCGGUUGUGAAAGCCCCGGGCUCAACCUGGGAACGGCAUCCGGAACUGUCAGGCUAGAGUGCAGGAGAGGAAGGUAGAAUUCCCGGUGUAGCGGUGAAAUGCGUAGAGAUCGGGAGGAAUACCAGUGGCGAAGGCGGCCUUCUGGACUGACACUGACGCUGAGGUGCGAAAGCGUGGGUAGCAAACAGGAUUAGAUACCCGUGUAGUC
rnacentral:rRNA from 1 species